UAUCUCGGCUCUUGCAUCGAUGAAGAACGUARCGAAAUGCGAUACUUGGUGUGAAUUGCAGAAUCCCGUGAACCAUCGAGUCUUUGAACGCAAGUUGCGCCUGAAGCCAUUAGGUUGAAGGCACGUCUGCCUGGGCGUCACGCAUUGCGUCACCCACUCCCCCGUGCCUGAGCGGGCAUG
rnacentral:rRNA from 1 species